UGGGGAAUAUUGCACAAUGGAGGGAACUCUGAUGCAGCGACGCCGCGUGAACGAAGAAGGCUUUCGCGUCGUAAAGUUCUUUUGUAUGGGAAGAUAAUGACGGUACCAUAAGAAAAAGCCCCGGCUAACUACGUGCCAGCAGCCGCGGUAAUACGUAGGGGGCUAGCGUUGUCCGGAAUCACUGGGCGUAAAGGGUUCGCAGGCGGAAAUGCAAGUCAGGUGUAAAAGGCAGUAGCUUAACUACUGUAAGCAUUUGAAACUGCAUAUCUUGAGAAGAGUAGAGGUAAGUGGAAUUUUUAGUGUAGCGGUGAAAUGCGUAGAUAUUAAAAAGAAUACCGGUGGCGAAGGCGACUUACUGGGCUCAUUCUGACGCUGAGGAACGAAAGCGUGGGUAGCAAACAGG
rnacentral:rRNA from 1 species